UACGGGGGGGGCAAGCGUUGUUCGGAAUUACUGGGCGUAAAGGGCUCGUAGGCGGCCAACUAAGUCAGACGUGAAAUCCCUCGGCUUAACCGGGGAACUGCGUCUGAUACUGGAUGGCUAGAGGUUGGGAGAGGGAUGCGGAAUUCCAGGUGUAGCGGUGAAAUGCGUAGAUAUCAGGAAGAACACCAAUGGCGAAAGCAGCUCUCUGGGACGGUACUGACGCUGAGACGCGAAAGCGUGGGGAGCGAACAGG
rnacentral:rRNA from 1 species